UCGGAUUCCGAGCAUUCCAGUAACUGUGUGGACGCACUUAGAGGUACUCUAAGUAGCUGGUUUGUAUGAGAUGGUUAAAA
rnacentral:miRNA from 1 species